GGUAUAUUCAUAAUACAGAAGCUGAGAUAAGCUUAAGCAAUGGCUGUCUUGCUUUAGCCCUUUGCAGGACAUCUUGUAUCUAUUCAGGUGGCUGCAAUGGAACAAGAGGCUGGCUCCAAUGUGCCACUAGGGUGGAGAGACUUCCCUGUUACUCACUCCUAUCAGGUAUCAUUGAUGUAUGAUGCUAAAGCUUCAGGUGGGAACCAGACUUAAGCAAGGAAGGUCAAAGUGAAAUGAAAGCAGCAGUGCUCAUCUCAAGCUUUGUUCACAGUUCUGCAAGAGGAGAAGCACUGUGGAGAAAGUGAUGGCUGGCUCUGUGCCAGUUCCUCAGGUGGUCCCAUUUGGAAUCCCUCUUCCAGAGAAGGCUAACCAUGAAGUAGACGCAAAUGCUCUUCUAGAAACGAAAUCAGGUCUGAGUAAGAGCUUUGAAUCCAGAUGGCACCAUGUCUUCAAUGCCAGCAUCUGCUGCCGGUGAAUACACCCACUUGCACUGGACGUGAGUCACCA